rnacentral:rRNA from 1 species
GGUGAAAGCCCCGUAUACGAAGGUUUGAUGAGGAACUAGGCACGCGAGCAAGUAGGCCGGGACACGUGAAAUCCUGGUUGAAGAUGGGUGGACCAUCAUCCAAGGCUAAAUACUACUUACUGACCGAUAGUGAACCAGUACCGUGAGGGAAAGGUGAAAAGAACCCCGGAGAGGGGAGUGAAAUAGAAUCUGAAACCGUUUGCGUACAAGCAGUGGGAGCAUGGUUUAGGCUGUGUGACUGCGUACCUUUUGUAUAAUGGGUCAGCGAGUUACUUUCAGUGGCGAGGUUAACUGCAUAAGGGAGCCGUAGAGAAAUCGAGUCUGAAUAGGGCGAUAGUCGCUGGGAGUAGACCCGAAACCGGGCGAUCUAGCCAUGUGCAGGAUGAAGGUUGGGUAACACCAACUGGAGGUCCGAACCGGGUAAUGUUGAAAAAUUAUCGGAUGACGUGUGGCUAGGAGUGAAAGGCUAAUCAAGCCCGGAGAUAGCUGGUUCUCCCCGAAAGCUAUUUA